rnacentral:lncRNA from 1 species
CCAGUCUGAGCAGGCUGCCAGAAAGGCAAUGGGCCAAAGUGGAGCCCCAGAGGAUGCAGACAUGGUGGUAUGGCUAACCGCGGAUCUGAUAUGAGUCAAACAACUCCAGACAUCCUCUCGUACAUCUGAGAGGCAGCACCAUCCCUUGGGACGGUUCUCCAUGCGUUGUGGGUACACAGGGUAUUAUGGGACCAGCCUUCGGAGGAAUGGUAGCCUUACAGAGUUCUAUGAGAUCAUUGUCUAUGGGUUUCAAGACAGGCAGGCCAACUCCUUUGUUCUUUCUCUCUCUCUCUCUCCAGGGAGGAUACAGAAAACUCAGUAAGGAAACAGCAAUUCUGGGGCUAAGGCGGUGAGAUAGCUCAGUUGGUAAGGUGCUUGCUGUCUAAGCAUUAGGACUGGAGUUCAGUUUCCAGGAAGGGAAGCUGAAACAUCUAGGUGCGGUUGCACGUGCUUCUAACGUCCACACUGGUCACGUGGGGAUGAGGAGAAUCCCCGAGCCUUGCUGGCCAGGCCAAUGAGAGACCUCGCCUCAAAAGGCAAGGUGGAUUCCUCCUGAGUGCACGUGCACUUGCGCCUCCGCGCACAGGGACACACGAGUAUUUUCAAAAAGGAAACGAUGGCUGUAUUUUGAAGUCAGCAGUCAUAAUUAUAACACCUGUAGGCAUGGAUUUCCGAAGCUGGGCUUGGGAUUUUAGUUUCUAAGGCAUACGGAGUCAGCUUCUCAAUAUGGAGAUGUGGAAGGAAGCAGCGUGUUGGGGGCGACUCGUAAACUGCUGGAUGUUGGCCAGCGAAGCAGACCUAGGGUUCAAGGUCAAGUCUGAUGCUAAAGAUAUCUGGUUGCUGUCUUCAAGAGCGUUAAAGUCGGGCUGGGGACGUAGUUCAGUUGGUAGGGUGCUUCCCUAGCAUGAAGAAAGAAGUCCUGGGAUCUAUAUUCAUUACAGCAUAAAACUGGAUGUGGUGAUACGAAUUGUAAUCCCAGCACCUGGGAGCUAGAACAAUUAAGAGCUCCCAGCCACUGAUAUCUCUACCUCUAUCGAUAUCGCUAAU